rnacentral:lncRNA from 1 species
GGGGGGGGGGGGGGCUAGGAUGAAAAAUUUUGUCCUGCAUUUUUUUUUAGCUGUAAUCUCUGUCCUGCCUUUUUAUUUUUCACUCUGUUCGGUCCUGCCUUUUUUUUUUUUAGUUUAUCCUGACUUUUUUUACCUAAAUUGUCGUCCUGACUUUUUUUUUUUGCAAGUGUCUCAUCCUGCCUUUUUUUUAUUACUCAAAACUCCUGUCCUGCCUAUUUUUUAUAAA